UACAGAGGGUGCAAGCGUUAAUCGGAAUUACUGGGCGUAAAGCGUGCGUAGGUGGUUCGGUAAGUCAGAUGUGAAAGCCCUGGGCUUAACCUGGGAAUUGCGUUUGAUACUGCAAGGCUAGAGUUUGGCAGAGGGGGGUAGAAUUCCACGUGUAGCAGUGAAAUGCGUAGAUAUGUGGAGGAACACCAGUGGCGAAGGCGGCUUCCUGGACUAAAACUGACACUGAGGCACGAAAGCGUGGGGAGCAAACAGG
rnacentral:rRNA from 1 species